rnacentral:rRNA from 1 species
ACGUACACUCCUGCGGGAGGCAGCAGUGGGGAAUAUUGGACAAUGGGCGCAAGCCUGAUCCAGCCAUGCCGCGUGAGUGAUGAAGGCCCUAGGGUUGUAACGCUCUUUCACCGGUGAAGAUAAUGACGGUAACCGGAGAAGAAGCCCCGGCUAACUUCGUGCCAGCAGCCGCGGUAAUACGAAGGGGGCUAGCGUUGUUCGGAUUUACUGGGCGUAAAGCGCACGUAGGCGGACUAUUAAGUCAGGGGUGAAAUCCCGGGGCUCAACCCCGGAACUGCCUUUGAUACUGGUAGUCUUGAGUGCGAGAGAGGUGAGUGGAAUUCCGAGUGUAGAGGUGAAAUUCGUAGAUAUUCGGAGGAACACCAGUGGCGAAGGCGGCUCACUGGCUCGAUACUGACGCUGAGGUGCGAAAGCGUGGGGAGCAAACAGGAUUAGAUACCCGGGUAGUCCCAUGA